rnacentral:lncRNA from 1 species
GAUUACUUACCUUUAAGCUGACCUGUUCUUGAUCUUUUUUCUGUAGAUAUAUAAGGAAACACAAUAAUUCAGCAGCAUAAUUAUAGUAGAUUUUUAUCUCCACGUUAAAGGGUCAGGCGGACGAAUAUCAUGAACUAUUUUGAACUGUUGUUUCUCGGGGAAACAUAAAAUCACGUUGUUUCCCGGGGAAAUAAAUUGACGAGAACUUUAGUCAGCUGCAACAAAUAUGGACGACUCGGUCGGCUGCCAAGACAGACGAAGUCGUUUUACAAAAAAAAGUCAUACAUGUGAACCUCCCGACGGGAGUACAAAACUCCCGUUUUCAGGGGUCCCCUCCCGUCCUCCCGUCGAAGAGAAAAAAAUCCCGUGUAGAAAAAAUUUCAUGAAUGAAAAUUUUCAGUCGCCAUUUUUACUAUUUUGUUUACAAAAUUUAUCAUUCAGAUCGUAAAAACCCGAGAUUUUUUAAGUCGUAAAAACACGAGGUUUAUCGAAUGUAUCCGGUGUAACUGACAUUACCUGAUUACGCAACAUGUGGAGAUUUUAAUUCUUGCUAAAGGCUAAUUAACAAGUGAUAAUAGUUUGAUUGAACAAUCAUAAGGUGUUUGUAUAUCAAUUACUCGAUGUGGCUUCUGUUUAUGGCACACGCCAAGGAUGAUUAAAGGCAAAUACCGAUAAAUACCGGCAUUGAUGGAAAAUGGAAUGUUGUCCAAAAAUUUAUCGGAAGUUUUUUGAUGCCGAGAAAAACACUUAUUGUAUAUGAAAAUCUCGAGAUGAAAAUACUGGAAAAAGGAAUGGUUUCAGCUCAAUGUGAGCUGUUUGCUACACAAGCUGACUGAAAAAUUAUAUAAGCAAAUUGAUUAUUUUGUACACCAUUAUGUGUUCAAAAUGCUAAAACGACAGUUAUCUUCAAAGACACCAGUUUCAAAACAACAGAAAUAUUUGACAAAGUUCAACAAUGUUUGUUAAUUUAUUAUUUAUUUAUUAUGUAAUAAAUGUAUAGCAUAAAUCUCUCUUAUAUCUCAAGCCAAUGCCAAUGAAAAACAAAUAAAAAAAAGAUUCUCAUCAGCAAUCAACAAUGUAAAACAAAAGAAAAAAAGAUUCUCAUCAGCAAUCAACAAUGUAAAACAAAAGAAAAAAAGAUUCUCAUCAGCAAUCAACAAUGUAAAACAAAAGAAAAAAAGAUUCUCAUCAGCAAUCAAUAAUGUAAAACAAAAGAAAAAAAUAUUCUCAUCAGCAAUCAACAAUGUAAAAUAAAAGAAAAAAAGAUUCUUCUCAAUUAUUCCUUAAUAUAUGCAGACUUUAACUAAUGCCAUUCACAAGGAAGAUUGAAGAAAAAAACACAUCAUACGGUUAGUUUUACGACGAAAAAUAUGUCGAUAAAAAACCUCCUGAUCUGAGGUCCAAUCUCCUGACCAAAAUUUCCAAAUCUCCUGAUCUGAAUUUUACAGUCCAUCACAUGUAUGAAAAG